rnacentral:rRNA from 1 species
GCUAUUGCUAUCGGGAUCCGAUUCAGGCAUGCUAGUCGUACGAGUUCAGACUCGUGGCGUAUAGCUCAGUAACACGUGGUCAAACCACCCUCUGGACCGGGAUACCCUCGGGAAACUGAGGUCAAUCCCGGAUACCGCUUUCACGUUGGAAAAACGGAAAGCUGGAAACGGUCCGCCGCCGGAGGACGUGACUGCGGCCGAUUAGGUAGACGGUGGGGUAACGGCCCACCGUGCCAAUAAUCGGUACGGGUUGUGAGAGCAAGAGCCCGGAGACGGAAUCUGAGACAAGAUUCCGGGCCCUACGGGGCGCAGCAGCCGCGAAACCUUUACACUGCACGACAGUGCGAUAAGGGGAUCCCGAGUGCGAGGGCAUACAGUCCUCGCUUUUCGUGACCGUAAGGUGGUCACAGAAUAAGGGCUGGGCAAGACCGGUGCCAGCCGCCGCGGUAAUACCGGCAGCCCGAGUGAUAGCCAAUUUUAUUGGGCCUAAAGCGUCCGUAGCCGGCCGAACAGGUCCGUCGGGAAAUCCACCCGCUUAACGGGUGGGCGUCCGGCGGAAACCAGUCGGCUUGGGGCCGGGAGACCAGAGGGGUACGUCCGGGGUAGGAGUGAAAUCCUGUAAUCCUGGACGGACCACCGGUUGCGAAAGCGCCUCUGGAGAACGGACCCGACGGUGAGGGACGAAAGCUAGGGUCUCGAACCGGAUUAGAUACCCGGGUAGUCCUAGCCGUAAACGAUGCUCGCUAGGUGUGACGCAGGCUACGAGCCUGCGUUGCGCCGUAGGGAAGCCGAGAAGCGAGCCGCCUGGGAAGUACGUCCGCAGGGAUGAAACUUAAAGGAAUUGGCGGGGGGAC